UUGUUAUUAUAGGAUGGAGAUACUGCUCUUAUUGUAGCAGCAAGAGGAGGAAACUGUGAUGUUGUAGAAUUACUGCUGAAGAAAGGAGUUGAUUCUUCAGAUUCAAACAAUGAAGGAGAUACUGCUCUUAUUGUAGCAGCAAGAAAAGGAAACUGUGAUGUUGUAGAAUUACUGCUGAAGAAAGGAGCUGAUCCUUCACAUUCAAAUGAUGAUGGAAAUGAUGCUCUUUUUGAAGCAGCAAGAGAAGGACAUUAUGACAUUGUACAGUUGCUAUUGAAUAAUGGAGCUGAUCGAAGUGCUGCAACUGAUGUGAGUAUCAUGUAAUUAAU